rnacentral:rRNA from 1 species
AGGUAAGCUACUAAGAGCGAAUGGUGGAUGCCUUGACUGGUAAAGGCGAUGAAGGACGUACUAGACUGCGAUAAGCUACGGGGAGCUGUCAAGAAGCUUUGAUCCGUAGAUUUCCGAAUGGGGCAACCCAAUGUAUAGAGAUAUACAUUACCUAUAUAGGAGCGAACGAGGGGAAUUGAAACAUCUUAGUACCCUCAGGAAAAGAAAUCAAUAGAGAUUGCGUCAGUAGCGGCGAGCGAAAGCGCAAGAGGGCAAACCCAGUGCUUGCACUGGGGGUUGUAGGACUGCAAUGUGCAAGAGGUAAGUUUAGCAGAACAUUCUGGAAAGUAUAACCAUAGAGGGUGAUAGUCCCGUAUGCGAAAAACAAACCUUAGCUAGCAGUAUCCUGAGUAGGGCGGGACACGAGGAAUCCUGUCUGAAUCCGGGUCGACCACGAUCCAACCCUAAAUACUAAUACCAGAUCGAUAGUGCACAAGUACCGUGAGGGAAAGGUGAAAAGAACUGAGGUGAUCAGAGUGAAAUAGAACCUGAAACCAUUUGCUUACAAUCAU